rnacentral:lncRNA from 1 species
ACAAGGAAAAAACCAUGCACGCACACAAGCAGGCUUAAAAGUGAGAAGCUCCUGCUCAGGCAGAAAGACUCACACUAGGGGACGAGUGUGGUGGCUCAUGCCUGUAACCCCAGCACUUUGGGAAGCCAAGGUGGGUGGAUCACUUGAGGUCAGGAGUUCGAGACCAGCCUGGCCAACAUGGUAAAACCCCGUCCGUCUCUACUAAAACGACAAAAAUUAGCCGGGCAAGGUGGCGUGUGCCUGUAAUCCCAGCUACUCAGGAGGCUGAGGCAGAAGAAUCACUUGAACCCACAAGGUGGAGGUUGCAGUGAGCCGAGAUCAUGCCACAGGACUCCAGCCUGGGUGACAGAGUGAGACUCCAUCUCAAAAAAAACAAAACAAAAAAAAAAACAUCUCACACUGGGAGUUGCAAGGCAAUGGCCGUCAAGGCCAAGCCAAAGCAGAGAAGUGGGUAGGGGCCAGUGCCACUGCUCACCAAGGCAGGGAGGAAAGAAUGGGCAGGCAACUGUGGGACUAGGCAGGGAAGGAUGGGGCUCCAGCCUGGGAAGGAGAAGCUGGACCAGGGAGUGGGCGAGGAGCGAUAGAGGUUGAGGGAUGAAGGGGAAUAUCAAGCUGGGGUCUGAGGCCAGGGGAGGGCACCGAGAGGGAGACAUGGAAGGAUGGAUGGGCCUGAGAAGGUUAGAAAGG